rnacentral:sRNA from 1 species
UUGCCGUAGGCAACGACCCGAAGGGCGAAGCGCGCAGCGCUGAGUAAUCCUUCCCCCGUCAUCC